GUUCGACAUCAUGCGAGGGAAGGAUUCAAUGGCCCUAUUCAGCUGCAGGUAACCGGUGUGGAACACCGCAUUUGACUUCCAUUGCUUCACCAUGUCUCUCGAAUACCAUAGCAUAGUGAACUUCACAGCUAGUGGUUCGAAUGACUCAAUUUCAGGGAAGGUUGUGGGAGAGCACAAUAUAAGAUUUUUGCUGCUAGGUGAAGUGGUUGAGUCUUGCACCCUAGAUGGUGAGAGUUUAGUAGCAACAAUCAUCAUUGGAUUAUUCUCUAACCCGAGUAACAUGGGGCAUGUGGAAUCCCAUGUGAGUCAGAAAGGACCAACUUGCAAGGCUAAAUAAUCCUGGGUGACCGAUAGAGAAGUAGUAUCGUGAGGGAAAGGUAAAAGGAACCCCCAUCGAGGAGUGAAAUAGAACAUGAAAUUGUAAUCUCCCAAGAAGUGGGAGGAAAAUGAUAUGUCUGACUGUGUGUUUGUUGAAUAAUGAGUCGACAAAUUAUAGGCAGUGGCUUGGUUAAGGGAACCCACCGGAUCUGUAGCGAGAGCGAGUCUUCAUGGGGAAAUUGUCAUUUCUUAUGGACUUGAACUUGGGUGAUAUAUCCAUGAAUAGGAUGAAUCUUGGGUGAAACUAAGUGGAGGUAUGAACUGAAUGAUGUUGAAAAAUCAAUGGAUGAGUCGCGGUAAGGGGUGAAAUGCCACUCGAACCCAUAGCUAGUUGGUUUUCCCCAUAAUGCAUUGAGGCGUAGCAGUUGAUUGGACCAUCUAGGGGUAAAGCAUUAUUUUUAUACAGGCCACAAGAGCGAUACCAAAUCGAGGAAAACUCUAAAUACUAGAUUUCCCCAAUAAAAGGGGUAAAGGUCAUCCAGUGAGAUUAUGGGGGAUAAGCUUCAUCAUCGAGAGGGUAACAACCCAAAUCACCAACUAAGGCCCCUAAAUGACCACUCAUUGAUGAAGGAAGUACGAGUGCAAAGAAAAUUCCUCAAUGGGUAGAGAAAAUUCCUCAAGCCAAUGUCCGAGUACCAAGUGCUACAACGUUGAAGUAACCGAUGGCAUACUCCUAGUAAAAGCUCGAGCGAAUUUAACAAAUGGGUACUUGUACCUAAAACUGACACAGGUAGGUAGGUAAAGAAUAACUAAGGACGCAAGACAACUCUCUCUAAGGAACUUUUAAAAAUAGCCCCAUAAAUUUGGGAUAAGGGGUACCUCCUCAAGAGGUCAUAGUGACCAGGCCCAAGUGACUAUUUACCAAAAACACAGGUCUCUGAAAAGUAGUAAGACCAUGUAUGGGGGAUGACGCUUGCUCAAUGCCAGAAGGUUAAGGAAGUUGGUGACCUGAUGAUGGGGAAGCUAGUGACCAAAUCCCUGGUGAACGAUGACCAUAACUAUAAUGGUCCUAAGGUAGUGAAAUUCCUUGUUGGAUAAGUUUUGACCCACACAAAAGGCAUAACGAUUUGGGAAUUUUCUCGGAGAGAGACUCAGUGAAAUAGACAUGUCUAUGAAGAUGUGAACUACCUGCACUUAGACAGAAAGACCCUAUGAAGAUUUAUUUUUCCUUGAUAUUGUAUUUGGGUUAUUCUUGCACAGCUUAUGUGGAAGAAGAAGAAGGCCCCCUUCUGGCGGGGGCUAAGCCACCAGGGAGAUACCACUCUCGAAGAGCUAGAAUUAUAACUUUGUGUCAGGACCUAUGGGCCAAGGGAAAAUCUUAGGUAGAUAGUUUAUAUGGGGUGUAGGCCUCCGAAAAGGUAACGGAGGCAUGCAAAGGUUUCCUCAUGCUGGACGAAAAUCGACCCUCGUGUGCAAAGGAAGAAGGGAGCUUGACUACAAGACCCACCCAUCAAGCAGAGAUGAAAGUAAACCUUAGUGAUUUGAUGAUGUUAAGUGGAAAUGUCGUCUCUCAAUGGAUAAAAGUUACUCUAGGGAUAAAAUGUUGUUCUUCCCCAAGAGUUCACAUCGACGGGAAGGUUUGGCACCUCGAUGUCGACUCUUCACCACAUGGGGCAGUAGUACAUUCCAAUGGUUGGGUUGUUCUACCAUUAAAGAAAGCGGUACAUGAGCUAGGUUUAGAACAUCUUGAGACAGUUUGGUCCAUAUCUGGUGUGGGUUUUAGAUUAUUGAGAGGACCUUUCCCUACUAUGAUAGGACCAAGAAGGACGCACCUAUGGUGUACCAGUUAUCAUGCCCACGGUAGAUGUUGGGUAGCCAAUUGCAGAGCUGAUAACUAAUGAAAUCAGAUAAGUAGGAAUACCACCCCAACAUGAGUUCUCUCCUAUUAUUACUUCCCUGAGAGUCCUAGUCACGAACAUGACUGGGAAAACGACGGGUUCUUUGUCCUUGCAGGGGAUAGAGUGAAAAAAGUAUUGAAAAUAAAAGAUAACCUCAUGGAGAGACAAGUAAUUUAUCAUUAUGAUAGGUGUCAAGUGGAAGUGAAGUGAUGUAUGCAACUGAGGCAUCCUAAUAGACCGAGAUAUUUGAACCU
rnacentral:rRNA from 1 species